ACGGCUCAGUAACACGUGGAUAACAUGCCCUAAGGUGGGGGAUAAUCUCGGGAAACUGAGGAUAAUACCCCAUAGGUCUUCUCUGCUGGAAUGCUUGAAGGCCGAAAACUCCGGUGCCUUAGGAUUGGUCUGCGGCCUAUCAGGUUGUAGUGGGUGUAAUGGACCCACUAGCCCGUGACGGGUAUGGGCCUUGAGAGAGGGAGCCCAGAGAUGGACUCUGAGACAUGAGUCCAGGCCCUACGGGGCGCAGCAGUCGCGAAAACUUCGCAAUGGGGGCAACCCCGACGAGGGAAUUCCAAGUGCCAGCACUUUGUGUUGGCUGUUCUCCUGUCUAAAAAACAGGAGGAGUAAGGGGCGGGUAAGACGGGUGCCAGCCGCCGCGGUAAUACCCGCGCCCCUAGUGGUGGUCGAUAUUAUUGAGCCUAAAACGUCCGUAGCCGGUCUUUUAAAUCUUUGGGCAAAUCGGGCAGCUUAACUGUCCGACUUCCGAGGAGACUGGAAGACUUGGGACCGGGAGAGGUCAGAGGUACUUCUGGGGUAGGGGUAAAAUCCUGUAAUCCUGGAAGGACCACCGGUGGCGAAGGCGUCUGACUAGAACGGAUCCGACGGUGAGGGACGAAGCCCUGGGGCGCAAACGGGAUUAGAUACCCCGGUAGUCCAGGGUGUAAACGCUGCGGGCUUGGUGUUGGGGGUCCUUCGUGGGCGCCCAGUGCCGGAGAGAAGUUGUUAAGCCUGCUGCUUGGGGAGUAUGUCCGCAAGGAUGAAACUUAAAGGAAUUGGCGGGGGAG
rnacentral:rRNA from 1 species